GCGAGAAUAGCUCAGCUGGCUAGAGCGCUUCCUUGCCAAGGAAGAGGUCGCGGGUUCGAAUCCCGUUUCUCGCUCAA
rnacentral:tRNA from 1 species